UACGAAGGGUGCAAGCGUUGUUCGGAUUUAUUGGGCGUAAAGCGCGCGCAGGCGGAAUGACCAGUCAGAUGUGAAAACUCGGGGCUUAACCUCGAACGUGCGUCUGAAACUUUCAUUCUAGAGUGUCGGAGGGGGAAGGGGAAUUUCACAUGUAGGGGUAAAAUCCGUAGAGAUGUGAAGGAACACCUGAGGCGAAAGCACCUUCCUGGCCGUCAACUGACGCUGAGGCGCGAGAGCGUGGGGAGCAAACAGG
rnacentral:rRNA from 1 species